rnacentral:rRNA from 1 species
GAUCCUGGCUCAGGAUGAACGCUAGCGACAGGCCUAACACAUGCAAGUCGAGGGGCAGCGAAGAGGUAGCAAUACCUUUGUCGGCGACCGGCGCGCGGGUGAGUAACACGUAUGCAAUCCACCUGUAACAGGGGGAUAACCCGGAGAAAUCCGGACUAAUACCCCAUAAUAUGGGCGCUCCGCAUGGAGAGCCCAUUAAAGAGAGCAAUUUUGGUUACAGACGAGCAUGCACUCCA